GGGUUUUCAGGAUGGCAUAUGGAGCUCAAAAGAGUAUCCUGCAAAACCCCCUUCUGGGUGGUCAGGGUUCGGUCGCCCUAAUCGAUGCUUGGGUUGGAACAGGUCUUGGAAGGCAACCUUAGAUGUUCCAUCACAAACCAAUGGUAUAACUGGCACAUUCUGGUUGUGAGUAAGUUCAUUUGCAGCCCUUCCGUAUUGUACACCAGCACCAGACUCAAUAGAUGAGUUUACAAAUUCCUGGGGUAUUGCUACAUUAUCACUGUAUCUUGAUGUUAUUCAGCUUCCCCUCCCACUCUUCCCUUGGAAUCACUCUCUUUGAUGCCGCCAUUGCCUCAAUUUCUGCUAGCUGACGAAGGUAAGCUUUUUCUUCUUGAUGAUUUUACUGAGUUUUGAUCCAAACUGCAGACGGCUUUCAAUUUCUACAGCUGCAGCCUUGGCUUCAUAUGAUGAGACGAAUGAUCGUGCUUUGGUUUUGGAUGCCAUGAAUGUUGGCGUGCCGAUCCAAAUCCUCUUGGAACCUCAUGAAAGUCCUUCUUGUGUAAAGCUCAGACGCUUGCCUCUUCAUCGGAGAUGGAGUCUUCAAUACCGGUAAAGUGUUCAUUGUAUCAUAAUCUGCUCUUACUUCUUUCUCAUUGCGACUUUCAAACACUUCCUCAUAACGCUUAAAGAACUAAUUUAAACAGGUGGAAGCAUUGACAUGAUUGGGCCUUGCUUCGCUUGCGUGACAUGAUUUCAACACAACCUCUAUUCUUGCUUGCAGAUUCAGUCAUUCCUUGGGUUUCUAACAUGCUCACAGGUACAGGCCCUUGCAACCAGUUAUAGGACAAAUCGACAAGCGCUAACUGUGGUGGAGAUAAAAGGCCUCCGGGAAAGGGCUCGGAUGAAUGAUUAUCGGUUCACAAACAUACUCGUGGGCAACUCAGUUGAAAAAGACAAUGAUAUGCUAAUUGUCUUACUGCUCCUCUCAAAGUAUUGGCUGCAGAAUGUGCCGGCGAUAGAACCUGGUAAGCUAAACACUGCAGAUUCCAUCUUCUCGGUCGUCGGUUGCCCAAGGCCUAGAAGGAUGUAGAGAAAGAGAGCAGAACUUGCUGCUGUUGCUCUAUCGGCUGGUACAACAACGGCUGAUUUUAGGUGAUGAACAUAAUUUAUUUAUUUUUAAACCAAUUAAUUCCUUCAAGCGAUUCCGCUCUUCAAGAGCGACAUCCAAGUUUCGCACCAAUACUUCAACUGUUAGCUUUCCCCAUA